AUACGUAGGGGGCGAGCGUUGUCCGGAAUUACUGGGCGUAAAGGGUGCGUAGGCGGCCUUAUAAGUCAGAUGUGAAAUACCGAGGCUUAACUUCGGGGGUGCAUUUGAAACUGUAGGGCUUGAGUGCAGGAGAGGAAAGUGGAAUUCCUAGUGUAGCGGUGAAAUGCGUAGAGAUUAGGAGGAACACCAGUGGCGAAGGCGGCUUUCUGGACUGUAACUGACGCUGAGGCGCGAAAGUGUGGGGAGCAAACAGGAUUAGAUACCCUGGUAGUCCACACUGUAAACGAUGAAUGCUAGGUGUAGGGGGUAUCGACCCCUUCUGUGCCGCAGUCAACACAAUAAGCAUUCCGCCUGGGGAGUACGGCCGCAAGGUUGAAACUCAAAUGAAUUGACGGGG
rnacentral:rRNA from 1 species